UUGUCUCAAAGAUUAAGCCAUGCAUGUCUAAGUAUAAGCAAUCUAUACGGUGAAACUGCGAAUGGCUCAUUAAAUCAGUUAUCGUUUAUUUGAUAGUACCUUACUACUUGGAUAACCGUGGUAAUUCUAGAGCUAAUACAUGCUAAAAACCUCGACUUCGGAAGGGGUGUAUUUAUUAGAUAAAAAACCAAUGCCCUUCGGGGCUCCCUGGUGAUUCAUAAUAACUUAACGAAUCGCAUGGCCUUGUGCCGGCGAUGGUUCAUUCAAAUUUCUGCCCUAUCAACUUUCGAUGGUAGGAUAUUGUCCUACCAUGGUUUCAACGGGUAACGGGGAAUUAGGGUUCUAUUCCGGAGAGGGAGCCUGAGAAACGGCUGCCACAUCCAAGGAAGGCAGCAGGCGCGCAAAUUACCCAAUCCCGACACGGGGAGGUAGUGACAAUAAAUACUGAUACAGGGCUCAUUUGGGUCUUGUAAUUGGAAUGAGUACAAUUUAAAUCCCUUAACGAGGAACAAUU
rnacentral:rRNA from 1 species